AUGGCGGCCGAGCAUGGCGCUGCGGCGGCGGCAGCGGACAGGGCUGGGGCGGAGCCUCCUCCCCCGGCGCCUAUGCCGGGGCUGGUGGCGUCGGUGGACGCGGCGGGGCAGAGGUCGCUGCCGACGCCGUUCCUGACCAAGACGUACCAGCUCGUCGAGGACCCGGCGGUGGACGACGUGAUCUCGUGGGGCGAGGACGGGUCGACGUUCGUGGUGUGGCGGCCGGCGGAGUUCGCCCGGGACCUGCUCCCCAAGUACUUCAAGCACAACAACUUCUCUAGCUUCGUGCGGCAGCUCAACACCUACGGAUUUAGGAAGAUCGUGCCGGACCGGUGGGAGUUCGCCAACGACUGCUUCCGGCGAGGCGAGAAGCGCCUGCUCUGCGACAUACACCGCCGGAAGGUGGUCCAAUCGGCGGGGCUUGCGGCUGCCGCUGCCGCCGCCGCGGCUGGGGCGGUGACGGUUGCCACCGCGGCGAUCCCGAUGGCGUUGCCGGUUACGCGCUCCGGCUCGCCGGAGCCGCAGCUCUCCUCCGAGGAGCAGGUCCUGUCGUCCAACUCAGGAUCCGCGGAGGAGCUCCCGCCGGCCGCACCGUCCGGCUCAGGCUCCGGCCUGGGCGGCGCCGCCGCCGGCUCCUCGUCCGGUGAUAUGGGCGAGGAGAACGACCGGCUGCGGCGGGAUAACGCGCGGUUGACCCGCGAGCUGGGGCAGAUGAAGAAGCUGUGCAACAACAUCGUGAGCCUCAUGUCCAAGUUCGCCUCGAGCCAGCAGCCGGACGGCGGCCCCGGGUCGCUGUCGUCCGUGGUGAACUGCUCGGGCGAGUCGGCCCUGGCCCCUCCGCCGCCGCUCCCCGCGGGGAUACUGGACCUGAUGCCAUCGUGCUCGGCGCUGGCCACGGCCGCCGGCCUCGCCGUCGACGGCGGGCCGGAGACGGACGCGAGGCUGUUUGGCGUCUCCAUAGGGCUCAAGCGAGCGCGAGACGAAGAAGAAGACGGCGAGGGCGAGGAGCUUCCUAACAGCAACGGCGACGGCGCGGACGUGAAGCCGGAGGAGGCAGCGAACCGGCGGCCCGACGGCGGCAGCGAGGAUCGGCAGUCGUGGCCGAUAUACCGGCCCAAGCCCGUGUACCGGGCCUGCAACGGGCAGGACGGGGCCGGGGCCGGUUCCGGGUCAGACCAGGACAGAUCCAACUCGAGAGAACCAUGCGUGGCGGCGGCGGUUGGGAACCACAGGCGUUCGCUGGAGAAGGCAGCGGCCAUGGGCAUGGCGCCCGGUGGCAGGGCCGGCGAGUGCAGGAUGUCGAACAGCGGCGGUGGCGGGGUGCUCUGCGUGGGUCAUACGCGCAGCGGCCGGCGGCAGGGCUGCUCCGCGUGGUGUACAAGGCGGCGGACUACAAUGUGGAGGCGGAGUGGAAACCGUGCUAGUGCUCCGCGGCUGCGCGGGAGGACGGAGAAGGGGGCAGCGCCGGCGCUGGGCCGAAGGACACUGUCUUUCGAGCCCCUGCGGACGGCGACAAUGGAGCCGCAGGUGGUGCGGCUGUCGGCGGCGGCGCAAGAUGCUGCUGCAGGAUUCCGGCACGAUAUACGUCCGUGCGUCGCUGCUGUCAGACGCCGUCCGGAAGUCUGGACCAGCUGCGGGGAGGCACUGUCUGCACAAGAUGCAGUGUACUGUUCUGAAUUUCAGUGGACAAAAUGCAGUGAAAUAUGUUAG
rnacentral:rRNA from 1 species